rnacentral:rRNA from 1 species
GAUGCUCCCAACUUGGAACUGAACCCGUUCCAGGACGCUACGGUGGCAGCAGGGGAGGAAUAUUUGGCCAUUGGGCGAAGCUGACCAGCAACGCCGCGUGGGAGGAUGAAGGCUUCGGGUCGUAAACUUCUUUUGCAGGAGACGAGAAAGGACGGUAUCUGCGAAUAAGCACGGCUAACUACGUGCCAGCAGCCGCGGUAAAACGUAGGUGGCGAGCGUUAUCCGGAUUUACUGGGCGUAAAGAGCUUGUAGGCGGUCUUGUAAGUUGGGCGUGAAAGCCCCGGGCUUAACUCGGGGAGGCCGUUCAAUACUGCAGGGCUAGAGGAUGUCAGAGGGAGAUGGAAUUCCUGGUGUAGCAGUGAAAUGCGUAGAUAUCAGGAGGAACACCCGUGGCGAAGGCGGUCUCCUGGGGCACUCCUGACGCUGAGAAGCGAAAGCUAGGGGAGCGAACGGGAUUAGAAACCCCGGUAGUCCUAGCCGUAAACGAUGGAUGCUAGGUGUUGGCAGAUCUAACCCUGCCAGUGCCAAAGCUAACGCGUUAAGCAUCCCGCCUGGGAACUACGAGCGCAAGCUUAAAACUCAAAGGAAUUGACGGGGACCCGCACAAGCAGCGGAGCGUGUGGUUUAAUUCGAUGCUACACGAAGAACCUCACCCAGGC